CCGGCCCUAUCGAAGCUGCGCCU
rnacentral:miRNA from 1 species